UACAGAGGGUGCAAGCGUUGUUCGGAGUUAUUGGGCGUAAAGGGCGCGUAGGCGGUGCGGUAAGUCACCUGUGAAACCUCUAGGCUCAACCUAGAGCCUGCAGGCGAAACUGCCGUGCUGGAGUGUGGGAGAGGUGCGUGGAAUUCCUGGUGUAGCGGUGAAAUGCGUAGAUAUCAGGAGGAACACCUGUGGCGAAAGCGGCGCACUGGACCACAACUGACGCUGAGGCGCGAAAGCUAGGGGAGCAAACAGG
rnacentral:rRNA from 1 species